UGGCGAAGGGUGAGUACACGUGAGCAACCUGCCCUGGACUCUGGGACAGCAUAUGGAAACGGUGUCUAAUACUGGAUAUGAGCUUUCACCGUAUGGUGGGGGUUGGAAAGAUUUUUCGGUCUGGGAUGGGCUCGCGGCCUAUCAGCUUGUUGGUGAGGUAAUGGUUCACCAAGGCGUCGACGGGUAGCCGGCCUGAGAGGGUGACCGGCCACACUGGGACUGAGACACGGCCCACACUCCUACGGGAGGCAGCAGUGGGGAAUAUUGCACAAUGGGCGGAAGCCUGAUGCAGCAACGCCGCGUGAGGGAUGACGGCCUUCGGGUUGUAAACCUCUUUUAGCAGGGAAGAAGCGUAAGUGACGGUACCUGCAGAAAAAGCGCCGGCUAACUACGUGCCAACAGCCGCGGUAAUACGUAGGGCGCAAGCGUUAUCCGGAAUUAUUGGGCGUAAAGAGCUCGUAGGCGGUUUGUCGCGUCUGCUGUGAAAUCCCGAG
rnacentral:rRNA from 1 species